UACGGGGGGGGCAAGCGUUGUUCGGAAUUACUGGGCGUAAAAGGCUCGUAGGCGGCCAACUAAGUCGGACGUGAAAUCCCUCGGCUCAACCGGGGAACUGCGUCCGAUACUGGAUGGCUUGAAUCCGGGAGAGGGAUGCGGAAUUCCAGGUGUAGCGGUGAAAUGCGUAGAUAUCUGGAGGAACACCGGUGGCGAAGGCGGCAUCCUGGACCGGCAUUGACGCUGAGGAGCGAAAGCCAGGGGAGCAAACGGG
rnacentral:rRNA from 1 species